rnacentral:rRNA from 1 species
CCUACGGGGCGCUGCAGUGAGGAAUAUUGGUCAAUGGCCGGAAGGCUGAACCAGCCAAGCCGCGUGAGGGAGGAAGGCGCAGAGCGUCGCAGACCUCUUUUGCCGGGGGACAAAAGGCCGGACUCGUCCGGUCCUGAGGGUACCCGGAGAAAAAGCAUCGGCUAACUCCGUGCAAGCAGCCGCGGUACUACGGAGGAUGCGGGCGUUAUCCGAAUUCAUGGGGUUUAAGGGGUGCGUAGGCGGGAUGCCAAGUCAGCGGUAAAACUGCGGUGCUCAACGCCGUCGAGCCGUUGAAACUGGCGUUCUUGAGUGGGCUAGAAGUAUGCGGAAUGCGUGGUGUAGCGGUGAAAUGCAUAGAUAUCACGCAGAACUCCGAUUGCGAAGGCAGCAUACCGGCGCCCUACUGACGCUGAGGCACGAAAGCGUGGGUAUCGAACAGGAUUAGAUACCCGAGUAGUC